UGAUGAUUCUGAAUUCCCCUCUUUGGUUCC
rnacentral:piRNA from 1 species